UCUUAUGGACAGGACGCUGUUUGUUUGGUUGAUGCAGUUCUGUUAUCAGAGGUAACGGAGAUCAUGUCCGGGAGACAGAUGUGUGUGAGUGUGGGUCGCAGCGCUUCUGAUGAGCUCAGGUGUGAUCGCACAGCAGGUGGACAUGAGCAACAAAUCCCUGACAGAGAUUCCUGAAGACACGCCUACAAACAUCACCGGAUGGAUCCUGAGCAACAACUCCCUUGUGAUGUCUGCCUCGGAUAUAAACACCUUACAGAAACAUCUCAGGAUUAAGAUGCUAGACCUUUCUUAUAACCACAUACAGACGCUGCUUCCUGGAGCCUUUGACAAUCUCACAAACCUUGAGAUAUCUUAAACUGAGGGGAAAUAGAUUGCAAACCCUUGACAAAGACAUCUUUAAAGGAGUGAGAAAUUUGAAGAGUUUGGAUCUGAAGGAGAACCCAUGGAUGUGCUCCUGCUCGCUCACAAGCCUAUUCAAAGAGCUGAAUGACUCUGGUGUAUUAAUAGGGAAAGAAGUCACUUGUUACAGGCCUCAGAAAACAGCUGUGCUUGACGGAAACCCUUCCUGCUCAAUUCAAGCCACAACCAUCCAAACCUCUGUGGAGACAUCUACAGCUACCACACUGAACCCCUGAUCAACCCCAACACCAGCGGCACCCAUAGAGCCCAGC